UGCAGUGGAUGCCGUUAUAACUUCCAAAUUGGGAACUUCAUCGCAAAAUACGACAGAAAGUUCGGAAUAACUAGCAAAAAUGGAAUUCAACGUGUUCUGCGUACGCUGAACCCAUUCCUUAAAAAGGCCAGCCGAGUCUAAUAAAACAGACGCACCUGCAUGACGAACUCUAGCGAAUUUUGCAGUCUUUGGCCGAGUUCUUUUGUGGUGUGAAACCAAUUGUUUCGGAUAUUUGGCGGUACAUCUCUUUUGUUAACCAAGAAACUGACUAAUCCUGGGUACACAGACAAGAGGGAAAAGGCGUGAACUGUUAAAGGAAUUGCGAAGCUGUAUGUGCGAUCGGGAUGGUCCAGCGCACAUUUAAGGGAUGAAGCCGCGGAACAAAACGUCGAAUUUAAGUCUCCAUCGCGAAACGUGUGAAUCAACUCUUUGCAUGUCUCAGCGGCUCCAGUAUUAAUGGUGGGAGAUCUCGAAAGACGUAAGCUAGAUCGUCUGGAAGAGUCGAUACUAAAUCUGCUAUCAUCCAAAACACUCAUACUGCUGUCAUGGCAUUUCAGCAAUUUAUCAAGCUUUUCUUUCAAGGCAGGAACAAAAAGUGCAGAUGCGCCAUCUUCCAACUGCCACACAUCACCUCUCUCAAAAACAGUAGAAGUGGGGAAUUUUCCUGAUUCAUCAAUAGCUUCUCGCAAAACUUCCAACCGUUUUCGCAUUGUAUCAAUGCUCCAGUACAUCACCAACUGGCGAUCCAAAUCUUGAACGCAGAUCAUGGGCUGCAGAUCAUCGGAAUACCAGUACCAUGUCAGGUCCCUUCCUCCUGCCCGUUAUGUUGCAAGAUCGGGACGUUACUUCUGAAUGCGAGUGUCAAAGACAAGUAUGUCGUCACUUUGCAGGGGCGUUUUGACCUAGCAGCAUCAAUAAUUGUUUGUUCUACUUGCAACAGCAUUUGUACUUCACCAAGAGCUCGUCCGCAUGAAGAAAUUGAAGACUGAAGCAAAAAGUCUUUUUGAAUUACCUGAUUACGGAAUGUAUCAUGAUGUGCCUUCUGAAUCUGAGUCGGAAGAUGACUUCAGUGAGGUGUAUUAAAGAUUAUAAAAGAA